GGCAAGUUUUAUUUUACUCAAUAACUCAAUGUUGCACAAUUAUUUAUCAUUAUACGCAUUGUAAAACCUACUAAUUUUUACUAACAAAAAUUAUCACAUUACAUAUCAAAGUUUUAAAAUGGUUGUCGCUUUUCGCCCCAUAAUAACCCCUAAGCCGAAUUUGCCCACCAAGCAAAAGGUGGCUCAAUUGUACCGUUAUUUCUAAUAUGAGGAUCUGGGAUCCGGGCUAAGGUGUGGAACACAACAAAAAAGUGUGAUUGUGAGUGAGGUUUUCCUGGAGGAUGUGGUCACAAUGUGUCUGCUGCAAGUGUUGAAAGACUUCGGGAGAGACAAAAGUGAGGUUAGGGGCGUUCUGAGGAAGUUGCCUCAAAGACAGCCGGCUGAGAAGGAACUCGACUUAAUUUUUUACAUCCCAAUGAGCGAAAAAUGAGCCUUGCAUUGAGGAAGAAGUUGAGGAGCUCAGUCUCGCAGCGUCUGCCUCAACUGGGGCCCCCUACGUCAUGAGGCGGAAUUUCUGUUUGAAGAAUUCAAAGAAAUCGUCUUCGAUGGAACAGCGGGAUUACAGUUUUUUUGCAAUAC